GGGUGCAUGUGAGUGUAUCUCUCGUGGGUUUCACCCGGGGUUCAGACACCCCAGCUCCUUCCCCCUUCCUGUGCUGUCGGUCCCGUGAGCCUCAGCAGGUUCCCGCGGGGACGGGGGGGACGGUGGGAACCCCAUGCUUAACAGGGCCUUUAUUCCCCUCGCCCAGAGCCAGGGUGUCUGUGCGCUGGGAAAGGAAAAGGCUCAGCAACAUCAAACGGCUCCCACAGCACUGAGAGUCACAUGAAACACCAUGAGUGUUUUGGGAGAUAAAGAGGCUUUGUGGGGCUGGGGGGGAUGCGCGGCGGUGAGGCCUGGGAGCCGGGGUGGGGGCAGCCGGGGUGCUGCAGACCCCCGGUUACCUGCAGAGCUGCCCUGGUCAGGGACAGUCUCACCUCCCUCUGGGUCCAGCUGAUGUGACCACCACCAGCAUCCCAUGGGAGCUCGGGAUGGACGUGGCAUGAGCACAGCACCAUCACCCCAUGGGCUCUGCCACCCAACCCACCCUGCCCAAAGGGAGUCUCACCCAUUGAGGACUCAGCACCACCCAAAGGAAGAGGAAGAGGUGCUUUCAGGGUGGACAAAAAUCCUCUCCAAAGCUCCUGACUGGUGGAGGUGGGAUGUAGGGGAGAAAUGCUGAGAGCAGAUGUUUCCCCCCUGAUAUUGCAAGGAUUUGGAGCAGUGGAAUAAGGCUAAUAAGUGAAAAAUAAGUUCUUUUAACUUCCCAUCUGCCUGACAGGCCCCUAGGCAGCCUCUCCUGCUCUGGACUGCUCCAGCCCCCAAGGCUUCAACACCUCCAUCAAGAAGAAAUCUGUGAGAUGGGACCGAGAGCUGCACCCAGGGCACUGCGGCUGCAGGAAAGCCUGAGAUUAAAGAAACAAAACCUUCCUGUCACACAGGAAAGGCAGAAACCGACUUAAGACAUGUUGGGCAGGAAAGAAAAAAGAGUUUGUCCAAACAAUGGACUGAGCUCUGCUCUGCCCUGAGCCAAGUGUUUACUUGUUGGUGCUGCUUGUUAGUGCUCAAAGCAAAGCAAGAUAUUUGUGACUGAGAGCUAGGAGGAAAGUUUCAUCUGUUCAGGGACCUUCUCCUCCCAUUUACUGAGAGGAGGAGCAUCUGAAAACGGGCUCUUUUCACCACUUGAAUGAGCAAAAUCAAACUCCAGGUUCAGGCCAGGUUUAGCUGGUGGGGCAGGAGCAGGUUCGCUCCUCUCUGGGUUUACUCAUCCCCAGCACAGUGAUUCCCACAGGGCUGGUCAGGGUGGACAUGCUGGAACAGCUACAGACCUGCUGCUUGGGCUCUGGCUCCGCUGGCGGGAACCUCCCCUGGAUUUGGGGGUUUCCUCCCCCAAGCGCCGUCCGUGGUGGGAGCCGGGUGGGUGCCGGGUUCCCAGAGGGAGCUGGGAGCAUUGGGUGCAGGGGUCAGUCUCGCUGGGGUUGGUUUUGCACGUGUUUAGCUCAGGUUCAGCCCAGCAGCCCCAGUCCUGGAUUAUCAGUAUCUGAUGCAGACCAGAGGGAUUUGCUGCUUGCAAUGAAAACAGCCCCGUUUCCCUGCAGAGCUGCAUCCCCUCAGCUGCCCCUCACCCCAAAGACGCUGCCAGCAGGGACAGCUCGGGGUGCCAGAGAGGGGACGUGGGGACAUGGGGAUGGAUGGGCUGAUCCCUUCAGGGACAGGGGGACAGACAGGGUUUGGAGGUGGAGGGGACUUAGCGAUGGAUUUCAGAGUCAUCUUCCCCUCCUCUUCCCCCACUUUGUUCCAGAAAUAAAUUAAAAGCUAUCUCUCCAGGAAAUUAAAACUCAUUUAAGAAGACUGAGCGCAGGACAUGAUGCGCUGGGGUUUCAGAGGUGGGUGUCCCGGUGCACCUCGAAGCUCAGAGAGGAGAAGGGUGCUGGGGUGACCCCCCAGAGCUGCUCCAGAAACCACUGCCACCAAAGCAGGUCCCUUGGACCCUGGGUGCAGCCUGGCUGUGGGACCCCCUCUUGCACCCAAGAUGAGGAAUCUGUCCUGAAAGAGUUAAGGGUGAAACAUUGCAGAAAUUUAAAAAAAAAUAAGAAAAAUUACAGAAGAAAAAAAAUGCCAUGAACCACAUGCGACCCAACCUCCCCAGCGGCUCAUCUGAGUUUAAUAACGGAGAAGGGAAAUCUCCCAAAAAGCUCUCAGAGAAAUUAAAGUAAACAGCGUGCUGACCUCCAAGCCCAGGCUGCCCCGCCGCUGACUCGGCCCGGCUGCGCGGCCACCGGCUCCUCGGCCAGCGCUGUAAUUGUAAACAUGUUCAGCUGGUUUAUGUCUCUGCUGCCUGGAGAAGCAUCGCUGGAGUUGGCCAUAAAUUUGGCUUCUGGAUGCUACAAGAGAAAAUAAUAACCCCCAAGGACUGAACAUCUGUCCACGCGGAGCACGUGCAAUGUUAUAAUUAAUAUUAAUGACUAGUAAAUACAGAAUGAGACUCGUGCUCUACAGGUCACCUAAUAAACCCAGCCUUCCCACCAUCA